CGCAAGCCUGACGGAGCCAGACCGCGUGGGGGAGGAAGGCCCUUGGGUUGUAAACCCCUUUUCUCAGGGAAGAAACCUGACGGUACCUGAGGAAAAAGCCUCGGCUAACUCCGUGCCAGCAGCCGCGGUAAUACGGAGGAGGCAAGCGUUAUCCGGAAUUACUGGACGUAAAGCGUUCGUAGGGGGCUCGUCAAGUCUGCUGUCAAAGCUCGGAGCUCAACUCCGACCCGGCAGUGGAAACUGGGGAGCUAGAGGUCGGUAGGGGCAAAGGGAAUUCCCAGUGUAGCGGUGAAAUGCGUAGAUAUUGGGAAGAACACCGGUGGCGAAAGCGCUUUGCUGGACCGAACCUGACGCUGAGGGACGAAAGCUAGGGGAGCG
rnacentral:rRNA from 1 species